rnacentral:lncRNA from 13 species
CGAAGAGGCAGCACGCUCACCAGGCACAGACCCGAAACAGCGUCCCUUUGAAGAUUUCCUCGAGUGGGGAAUCAUAUGUGCUGGAAACGUCCUUGCUCCACCAGCCGGAGGCCAGGAAGCGAGCGCCAAAUGCUGUUUACAGGACAGCUCUUAUUUCAGGAAUGAAGACUAAGGCUCAGCAGGUAGGAGGCCUUGAGAACAAGCACCGAAUUUCCAAGAAGCCCACGCUGCGACGGAGCUGCAGAGUGCUUGGCUCAGGGAACUCAUUGGAUAAUGAGACAGGAGACGCUUGCGAUGUUGUAAUAAACCCAUGCAAACUCAUCUACAUUAACAGGGGCACCAGCUUACUAUGCUGGGGAAGAUUUGAAGAUCAAGAGUUAGGCAAAACCGAGUUGAAAUCUCAGAUAAAUGACUUCGAUAUUUAGCACUGAUUCUACUCCAGGCUUUCAGCAAAGGGCAUCCAAUGGGUAUCUCCUGGUUCUCACAAUGAGAAUUCGUGAGCUCAGAUUCAAGAAUUCAGACGUCUAUGGGUAAAGACAGGUAGGCAACACAAAAGAAUGCUGUAAUUAUGUAGCUUUGGGGAUGGGAGCUGUAGGCACCUGGGGAUUCCUGCUUCACCUAGUAGGUCCCCAGUGACUCAGCACCAGCCAUCAUUAUUGUGUGAGAAUGUGGGUCCAGCCUUUUGAGAUUUUCUGAUUGUGUUGAAAGGAAAUCUGGAUUUUAUUAUAUAAUUUAUCUUUAUCCCUACUUAGACUUUAUCCACCCCCCAACACCUGGCAGGUGUUUACCUUAAAGUGAGUGCUCAGUUAAGAUUUGGGGAAUGAAUGAAUGAAUGAAUGAACAAAUAGAUGAUAAGUGAAACGUGAAUUAGCCACUGUCUCUCAGAGGUACACACUGUGAGUUUGAAUGUAUUUCUGACUUUCCUGAGUCCCUUCAAAAGAGAUUAGUCAGGACACUUUUAAACCAAUUAUUGAUCACUAAUUAAGACUCCACUGUGAGAAGUCAUGUUUUUGUUUGCCAUCCCCCUAUCAGGUAUUUUCAGGUCCAGGUGGUCUUGAAAGCUUAUUAAUCCAAUUCAGAGAACUUCCAAUACCAGAUAUUUGCCCCAAAUCCUCCAAAUAUUCAAAUUCAGCUCUCAGGACCUGUCAUUUGUCACAUAUUAUAUGCCCUUAUUAUAUGGAAACUCAAUUUAAUAACUGUCAACACUUUCCUUGAGUCACUUGUUUCUACCAAAUUGAAAACAUUCAUUAGUACAUAGAAAAUCCAUC